rnacentral:rRNA from 1 species
UACAGAGGUCCCAAGCGUUGUUCGGAUUCAUUGGGCGUAAAGGGUGUGUAGGUGGCGCCGUAAGUCGGGUGUGAAAUUUCGGAGCUUAACUCCGAACCUGCAUUCGAUACUGCGGUGCUUGAGGACUGGAGAGGAGACUGGAAUUCUCGGUGUAGCAGUGAAAUGCGUAGAUAUCGAGAGGAACACCAGUGGUGAAGGCGAGUCCCUGGACAACACCUGACACUGAGGCACGAAAGCUAGGGGAGCAAACAGG